CCUACGGGAGGCAGCAGUGGGGAAUAUUGCACAAUGGGGGAAACCCUGAUGCAGCGACGCCGCGUGAGUGAAGAAGUAUUUCGGUAUGUAAAGCACUAUCAGCAGGGAAGAAAAUGACGGUAUCUGAUUAAGAAGCCCCGGCUAACUACGUGCCAGCAGCCGCGGUAAUACGUAGGGGGCAAGCGUUCUCCGGAUUUACUGGGUGUAAGGGGAGCGUAGACGGCUGUGCAAGUCUGGGGUGAAAGGCAUGGGCUCAACCUGUGGACUGCUUUGGAUACUGUGCGGCUUGAGUGUCGGAGAGGCAAGUAGAAUUCCUGGUGUAGCGGUGAAAUGCGUAGAGAUUAGGAGGAACACCAGUGGCGAAGGCGGCUUGCUGGACGAUGACUGACGUUGAGGCGCGAAAGCGUGGGGAGCAAACAGGAUUAGAUACCCUUGUAGUC
rnacentral:rRNA from 1 species